AAGAAAACAGAAAGCGCGCGCGCACACACAGACGCAGACACAAGAAGACCCAGAGCUGGCCUCUGCGACUCCGUACAUGCUGAGUGAGACCGUAGUCAAACUACUGAGUGCUUCGUUUUUUUUUUUGUUUUGCUGUCCUUUCCCCUUCCUUUUGUGCGAAGUGCCACUCUUGCGAGGUGGGCACUCAUUACAACUCUCGUGUGUGCGCGUGUCAGCGCACCUGCUCUUGUUUGCUCCCCUCAUCUCUCGCUGUUUUUUUUUUGUUAAUUUCAUUUUCGGGAGCGUGUGCGAAGCCCUGUCAAGUAAAAGGCGAGCGUAAUUUCAUACAUUCGGUAGGUCUGAUUCAGGAAACGAAGAAGACGCGAGAUGGACGAUUUAGUUGCGGUGCGCAUCAAGGACGGCAUCUUUGCCGGCAACGCCGGUGCUGCGGCAGACAAGACGCUUUUGAUCAUGAACAAGAUCACUCACAUUAUUAAUUGUGCCGGUGCCGAGGUCGCCGAUUUUUUCCUUGGUGAGCCAGGCUUUAGCUACCUCUCCUUCCCCUGGAAGGAUGCUGCCGGCUCGGUGUGCACCACCAUUCUUUUCGAUGCUGCCGACGACAAUAUUCACCGCGCGGUGCAGUUCAUCGAUGAGGCUCUUGCAGCAGGCGAGUGCGUUCUGGUGCACAGCGUGUACGGCAACUCGCGCAGCCCUGCCCUUAUCGCAGCAUACAUGAUUAUGAAGUAUGGGUGGAAGCUAGAGAGCGCACUCCUGUACUUAAAAAUGGCGCACCCUGAUUCCGACAUUAAGCCCCACUUCCAGCGGCAGCUGCGCCAGUUUGCGAAGCGCCACGACGUGGAUCAUGAUAUCUUUGCUCAGGACGUAGACGACAGCCAAUUCGGCCUCGACAACGACCAGUGGAUGCUGCGCAACACCCUCCUCAACGGAUUGCUGUACAAGGAUCAGAUGGCGAAUGACCUUUAUCGGCAGUGCGCCGAGAAGGUUGACGUGGGCAAUCCCGUGAAUGGCAAGGCAACAAAGGCACAUAUUACAUUCGUGGACACCAAGAAGGGCACGGAUGCGGACUCUCGGACGACUUGCCCUGUUGUCAACUGCGCGGCAUCGUUCCCCGCAGAUCCGGCCUCGGCGGAGCCCGGUAGCUUCCUGGGCUUGCGCGGCCACUCGUGUUUGCGCGCUGGCCGCCGCUUACCCAGUAUUCUGAGCCGGAGCACGUCUCCUUGCUCUCGUCGGUUGGAGUCUGAUCCGCGCACGUGCCCCAAGGGGCGUCAGUCUCUCCCGGUAGUUCACAGCGGGACGACAGAGACGAGUACAGGGGUGUUGGCCAAAGCUGUGGAGCGGGCCUCAGCACUGCGAGCAUCGGCGCCAGCCCCCAGCACGCACAGCUCAUUCUCUCAUCUUGAGGACAAGUCCGCUAAAGGUAGGGACAGAGAAGGGGGCCCCGCACCGCCGCAGCUGCAGCGAUCGUCUGCUGAGUCGAUCCGGUCCAUCGACUACGCGCGACUGGCGCCGCCGACGCAGCUGCGUUCGCCGUUUGCUACGCUCGGGUCUAGUCACAAGUACCGCAACGGGUCCCCGCUGCCGACGCCGAAGGAUAAGAAAGUCACCACCAAGGAAAGCCACACACGGAUACAGUCGUUGCCUGCCAGCCGCCCUGGCAGCACCACCUUGGUGAGUUCCGUCUCCAUGCCGACGUCUGCGUGGGUCGGCAGCUCUUUCGGGCUCAGCAAUCCUACGUCUGUACGAAGUACCCCUCGCACAAGUAGCCCCUUGGCUAGCAAUAGACUAACUCGUGAUGUGGUGGGGCGACCGUCGGCCGCAAGCUAUCGCGGGAUCGCGCCGUAUCGCUCCACCGUUGUCCCUCGCACCGCCACGGAGCCCAGCUACCGUGCCCCACGGUCUUCGAAUCCGUCACCAUCGCGCCGGGGUGUCGACCACGCGACAGGCUCGCGAAGUGGCAGCCGGCGCCGCACCAUGUCGCCUGUCUACCUGACAGCGAAGCGGUCGCCGAGCGGUGGGAGAACCCAAUCAGGCACAGAGGACAAGCCGCAUUCCCGCACUCGCUCUCCUAAGGGGCAGAAGCACCAGGAUCCCAACUCUGGCUCGCUGAACAACUCCUUUGCGAGCAACGACAGCAACGGCACGAGUGGUGGUGCGAACGGGGCGAACUCCAAACACACGUCGACGGUGCGGCGCCAGCCGCCGCCGGUGAUUUCAUCGAGGAGGCAGGCUUAAUAUGCACACUCUCGCUACCUGUACCCUUUCAUCGAGGCCGAGGUCUCUCAUGUGUCUCUCUUUCUCUGCGUGUAUAUAUAUAUAUAUAUAUAUGAAUUCCUGCACCUGCGUGCCUGUCCAUUGCCAUUUCCUUGUUUUCCUCUUUGUUCUACUCUUUGUCUGGUGGUGUGUGCUGCGUGACACAUCCCCAGGACGGAUCGACCGUACAAGAAAGAGAGAACAUGGUGACACUGACACGCAAGUCCCCGCACCCCCGUCGCCUGGUCUGUUUCUUCCAUCGCCGAUUUUUUUUUGAUUGCUUUGUUUUGUACCUUUUUGUUUGUGUUCAGCUGUGCUUGUGUACCGCUUUAGAGGUGCUGCUGCCGCUGCUGCUGCGGGUCUCUGCGCGUGCGCAUCAGAGAGGAGGAGGAAAAGAAAAAGAAACGGAUCUCUCCUUUCUCUUGUUUUGCCUUUACAUUCAUGCUCUUGAACGAAGCAGAUUUUUAAAGACAAAAGCGCAUCCAGCGGUGCAGCGCCCACUCACUCCUACUCCUGUGCACACACGCACGCACACACAUCACCGUAUUGGAGUACUACAGAGCACGCUCCGAUGAUGGCAUUUCUCAAUUCUACGUGCUUUUGUUGUGCGCGCCCACUCGUGUACGUGCAAGAUCUCUGGCAGAUGCCUUUUUGUUGUUUCGUGUCUUGUGUGUGUAUAUGUGCGUGGGGACAUGCUCCAUGUACUGGACUGGGGAGAGGGGGGGGGCGUUAGAAGAGAAGAGAGUUGAGCGCGUGUGCUGAGUACAGGGGCGAGAUAAGGGAGAGAUGGUGAAGGAGGCAGGGGCACGAGAGGAUGGGUGAAGCGAGUCGAGAUGCUUACUGUGUGGCCCGGAAACGCCCCUCCAACGCCCUUCGCCGCUUCUCUUUUCGUUUUCCUCUAUCAUUGUAUCACGCUCUAGAGUUUCUUUUUUUUUGUCGUGUGAUCUGGGUAGCUCUCUCUCUCUGUAGCUCGUGCUGAUGCGCGCUGCUGCGUGUAGGGGGCAGGCAGUGGUUUUGCUGGUUUGCCAGUGACAGCGCUGGACUCCGCCUUUCCUCACUCUGCUGUCUUUAACAUUCGAAGAGAGUGUCUGCUCUGUGUGCUCUCCGUCCUUUGCUUCUUCCUUCUGCAUUCCGUUUCUCUGCCGUGAGUCUACUUUAUCAAGUGCUCACGUGCCUGUGUGUGUGCUUGUCUUUGUUCUUCUGCCCUUUUCUUUGCGUACUUCUCGACUUGUCGCAACGAGUGGGACAGAUUAUAAGGCAACCAACAAGCGGCAGCUUGAGCGGGUCUGCAUGUCACUCCCUCCUUCCUUCAUUCCAUGCCUUCCUCCUCUUUGAUUGCAGAGAGUGUGCUGAAGAACUAGACCCGUUGCACAAGAGCCCCCAUUUAGUCCCCUUCCCUUUUUUUCUAGCGUCAUGCAGAUGGUAGUGUGCAGAAGUGCCUCGCGCUCUACCAUGCGCCUCUCACUUUUGAUGGCCGAACAGGUUGAUGACGAUGGCGAAGAGGUCGAGUGACAUGACCUGUCUCUUCCUCACGCACUACAUUCAAAAAAAAAGGGAUGAGGGGUCUGCGUUUCACGCAUGCUGGCCACCACCACCACCACCGCCACAACAAGACGCAUACACACACACGGGCACACAUUGCACAAAACGUGUUUCAAGGCGUUCUCUCUUUUUCUUGUGCUUUUCGUAUUAUAUGUUUUUUUUUUCAUGCAACGUGACGUCACUCGUGUUUGAAGCUGCCCACACAUAGACACCGAGAAAUAUCCCCACCCACCCACCCACUCCAUCACGCAACACCACUACCACCAUCACCACCCAGUUUCCGCUCUUUCUCUCUCUUAUUAUUAUAUGGUGUGGUCCUUGCUUGUAGUCUAAAACUGUUACUUCAUCUUUCGCAGUCUUUUUCUCUCGCUCCCCGCCGCCUUUGUUGGAUGGUUGAUUCUAGGACGUUGCUGAUUCGAUGGUCUCGUUUUUUUUUGUUGUGUGCGUGUGUGUAGAUUUCAUCCAUCUCCGCCUGGAGGCCACCGUGACUACGCACCCACCCACACACACGUGUGGUGCACGUGUCCCUCACCGACUUAAGAUGAACAAGGAGAGGCAGAGAAGCGCACGAAGAAAGGGGCAAAAACGUAGAGACAUGACGAAUGCGCAUGGGAGCGUGGUGAAGUGUGUGUGUGGGGUGAGGGGGAAGGGGAGCGGCAACGAUGAAGUGACAAAAGGGGUCAUGGCGAAUGUCGCCACUGCCCGGAAUAUUUGCUACGCGUUGUCUUCUCUCAAUCUUGUUUUUUUUUGCCCCUUUCCGUACAUGCGAGGAAUAUACAACGUUUCUCCCAGCCAAUGCUCCUCUCACAUUACCAACUUGCCACCCUUUCCGCCCCGCCCCCCUUCCCCUCCCUUUGUCUCCGCAUCUUCUGUAUAGUCCUUGUGCUUGUUCUUAUCUCCUCCGCGUAAAUUUCGUUGUUUUUGUUGUGUUCUCCCACCCCAUCUGUGUCUUUGUCUGUGUCUUUCUCUCUGAUCACUUGUCAUGUGUCUUCCGGAUUGCUCGCUCGGUGGGGCGUAUAGUGCUUUCGUUGUCGGGUCACCCGUUUCGUCUUUGUUGCCUUUUUAGCUUCGUAUCUCUUUCAUGUCCGAUUUGGCUCCUUUGUUGGUUCUGAGUGCGCGAGUGCGUGUGUGCCCCCCCGCCCUCUAUCAUAUAUAUUCCUCCCGUGUGUUUUCCUUCGGCGUGCACGACUCUCUCUGUGUAUGUGGUGGGUCGAUGCAUCGGCAUUGUACACAAUUUUUUUUUCGGUGUUGUUUGUGUCUCCUGGUAUUGGUAUGCCUUCUUCACCCCUUGUCGUUGUCUACUGCAUGAGACACGGAGGCGGAAGCCAUAUUUUGAUUGCCCGGCAGCUCUUAGCCUGUGUGUGUGUUGGUCUCUCUCAGAGAGAAUUUGUGCUUGGGUCUUUGAAGGCGUUUCCGUGGCUGCUCUGUCCCGGUGCAGGCGUGGUGUAUGUGUGCGUAUUUUUUUUUUCCUCCUCCUGAGCAGGGGUGGGGGUGGGGGAGAAAUAAUAGCACGAAUCAAAAGAUCAAGGAUUGAGGCCGCAGGGGUGUCAUGUUCCCCGUCAACUUGGUCAGCACGCUUUGGUAGGACGUUGAACGCAUGUGCAUGUGUAUGUGGUGGAUAUCGAUCCCGCAGAGGCAUACUCGCGUCCCCCUUGCGGAUUUCGAGUGAUACUCCCAGUAAGCAAGUCUGAAUUCGACGGACCUACACUCACCCUUCACACAUACACACACCGGUCACCACCAAACUAGAUCAAGAUGUAUCUCUACCGCAUCCCUCUUCUCUCAUGCCAUCGAUAACGCCUAGCAUCGGCACGCAUCCGGGUGAUAUCCGCGACACACGCACACACAG
rnacentral:misc_RNA from 1 species